CUUCCCUUGUCAUACGUGAGUUCUUCAACUAGACAGACUGGAAACCAUCCUAGACAGAUUAAAUAGCUGUUCAGCAUUUAAUCUGGUGAUGAAGCAUUGUAAAUUCUAUAAGCAUGAAGAGUGACUUAAAUAUCAAACAUACAGUAGAUCUCUUCUGGCAACUGGUAAAAUAGUAUAUUUAAAACAUCAACAAUGGCCUGGCUUGGGCAAUGGCCUUAACCACAAUCACCUGUGUGGCACCAUAACCUGAUAAUCUCACUAGAUCAUAGGGUUGCUUCAGUGGUUUACCAACCUCAGAGAUGUUGGUAUUUGGGUCAGCACAAUUCUUUUCUUGCAAGGAGGCUACCUUGGCUUUUGGUUGUUUGACAGUGUUCCUAGGUAGAUAGUUGUGGCAUAUUCCACAUUCGCUUCAUGUAUGACAACCAGAAACAUCUCCACACAUUACCAAAUGCUUCCUGGAAAACAAUCAUACCUCCUGUCUAUGACUGGGAUUGUAAUAUGGCAGACUGUUGUCCCUCUGUGUAACACAAAUAAUAAAAUCCCAGAGACAGAUAUUGGGGUUCAAGCUGAAGACCAGAGAAGCAAAGCGGCCAGCCACUAGAGAGUUCUCACCUCUACCAAUGCUAAGACUGAAGUGGGCGUUCCACCGAACCUCAGACUGCUCCUCACUGCACUGCUGCUCAGAUUCUCUGAGACUGCAAUGCUCUCCAUCAAAAACCUCAGCUCUCUCUGAGACUGCACUGAGCUCCUUAUAUUCCCUCUAGUGCUGGGAUUAAAGGCAGAGAAGAGGAACAGGAUGGAAGAUUCAAACAGCAGUUAAUCAGUCUCCUUGGACUUGACACGUCACUUUCUGAUGUAUUCCAUUAGCAAAGGGAAGCUUUUGUUAAUGGCUACAUUUGUUAUUCAUCCUGUGUGUGUGUGGAGGAGGACCAUUAGGAACAACAGUGAAACUAAUUACAAACAUCACUUUCAAGUCAAGAUCCACACAAAGUUAUAAUCUGAAAAGCAAGAAAGAGAAGUAACUCACUAUAGAAAGAAUCAAUCUAUGUUUGAAGAAUCUUUGAUAAAAGGAAAUCCAAUGAAAACCUACGUGUGUGUCUCAGACACGUUAGUAUCUCAUGCAGUCCAUAUAUAAGAACAGUAACAUCUCCAGGAAACAUCUACAAUGCAUAGGCUUUGAUUUCCAGGGAAGCUUAGAGAAUUAAGGAUCCCACUCAGAUAAAAAGAAUGACAGUCAAAUCCCUGCUUUGUAUCAAAAGCCUUUUCUUACAACCUGUAUUUUUAAUGUCCAUAGUUGAACAAGAUCCAUAAUUCUGCCCUUCCUGUGAGAAGAUAAAUUCUCCCCUGCCUUCCCACACAUGUCUUCCGUGAUGCAUUUUCAGAAAUUUCAUGGUGUCUGAUCUGCACAAAUGACAUAAAUCCUGUUUGAGACAGAGGAGACCAGAGUACAAGCUAAUUUCUUGUGGCAGCUCCUGCCUAUAACAUCUCUUCAUUUGAACAGCUCCUUCUUAACUUCUGGUAGAUCUGUUUCCUUGAACCCCUUGUUUCUGCUUGGAGGCAUCUCCACCUAAUUUCAGUGACUCAGACUUCUCGAAAGGAGGCAAGACGCUUAAGUUUGAUUUAAUUAAGAGAAUUUGGUUCUUUAGUAACACAAGCCUGACACCUUCUGGAAAGUACAAAACUAUUACAUCCCCUAAAGUUCCUUUGUUCAGUACUGAGGAAGCUAGGGGCUAGACCUGCUGGAAACAGUAUGGAAGGUUCUGGGAACCUCAUUCUAGAAGGUUCCUCGCCUGAGUAAUAUUCAUGGAUAAAUGAAAUUGUAUGGGGAAAAACGUUAUAACUUUAUUCCCAUAGGAUGUUAUGGGAUGUCCAACAUUUUCUUUUUUUAUUAAUGUAGUUAAUUAGCCAUUGUAG
ensembl:lncRNA